rnacentral:rRNA from 1 species
AGUAGAGUGGCAAACGGGUGAGUAACGCGUGGGCGACCUACCUUCGAGUGGGGGAUAACCUUCCGAAAGGAGGGCUAAUACCGCAUGACAUCCCGUGUUUGGAUACACGGACAUCAAAGUCGGGGAUCGCAAGACCUGACGCUUGGAGAGGGGCCCGCGUCCGAUUAGCUAGUUGGUGGGGUAAUGGCCCACCAAGGCUUCGAUCGGUAUCCGGCCUGAGAGGGCGGACGGACACACUGGGACUGGGACACGGCCCAGACUCCUACGGGAGGCAGCAGUAGGGAAUUGUUCGCAAUGGGCGCAAGCCUGACGACGCAACGCCGCGUGGAGGAUGAAGACUUUCGGGUCGUAAACUCCUUUCGAUCGAGAUGAAUACGCACCGGCCUAAUAUGCCGGUGCGCUGACAGUAUCGGGAGAAGAAGCCCCGGCUAACUCCGUGCCAGCAGCCGCGGUAAUACGGGGGGGGCAAGCGUUGUUCGGAAUUACUGGGCGUAAAGGGUUCGUAGGUGGCCGGCUAAGUCAGACGUGAAAUCCCUCAGCUCAACUGGGGAACUGCGUCUGAGACUGGUCGGCUUGAGUGCAGGAGAGGAACGCGGAAUUCCAGGUGUAGCGGUGAAAUGCGUAGAUAUCUGGAGGAACACCGGUGGCGAAGGCGGCAUUCUGGACUGUUACUGACACUGAGGAACGAAAGCCAGGGGAGCAAACGGG